rnacentral:rRNA from 1 species
UGGGGAAUAUUGGACAAUGGGCGAAAGCCUGAUCCAGCCAUGUCGCGUGUGUGAAGAAGGUCUUCGGAUUGUAAAGCACUUUAAGUUGGGAGGAAGGGCAUUAACCUAAUACGUUAGUGUUUUGACGUUACCGACAGAAUAAGCACCGGCUAACUCUGUGCCAGCAGCCGCGGUAAUACAGAGGGUGCAAGCGUUAAUCGGAAUUACUGGGCGUAAAGCGCGCGUAGGUGGUCUGUUAAGUUGGAUGUGAAAGCCCCGGGCUCAACCUGGGAACUGCAUCCAAAACUGGCAAGCUAGAGUACGGUAGAGGGUGGUGGAAUUUCCUGUGUAGCGGUGAAAUGCGUAGAUAUAGGAAGGAACACCAGUGGCGAAGGCGACCACCUGGACUGAUACUGACACUGAGGUGCGAAAGCGUGGGGAGCAAACA